UCUUCACCCUUCGUGAUCGGGCGCCCAAUGCUCUCCAGUGAUCCUACCGUGCUCUUCACGCUGUGGCAAAGUUUGCGCAGUUCCACCACGGACUCGCUCUUCAGCUUCUGGAGUGACGUAAACUGGGAGAUGUAACUGCGCACCAGGAGCCGCUUGUUCUCAUAGCAUGUCUUCAGGUAGUGGAGCUUCUCGACUGAGGACGUGAGAGUGUCCCUUCCGAUUAGCGAUUGGAAGAGAUCACGGAAGGCUGGCCAAUCCUCGUACUUCCCGGAGAAAUGAGGCAGCUGGAUCCUCGGAAGAGUCGUGCGGGGUGCUUGCGAGGACGGCUCUGACCCUCUCGUGCCAGCUUCCUUCUCUUCCGUCUUGAGGUUACGCAGGAGGUCCAACAGCAGGCCCUUAUUGGCGAGGUAGGCCUCUUCAGCCAGAGCAGGUAUGUCGAGUCUUAUGUACUCUGAAUCGGCCACUUGGUCGAGAUAAUUCAAGAGCUCAUCGUUGUGCGCGUCGAACUUCGUCCAGUACCUUUCCAAGGACUGCAAUCGCGCCUCCACUGCGCCCACCGUGAUCUUGGCAGCGCCCAGCUUCAUCAGGUUCUCGUGACUGGUGUUCGGAGCACAGAGAACCACAACACUUCGCACUCACUCCGCGUCGUAGAAAAACCGGUCACUAAAUAUCCGGCUCGAAGGACCAGCAAAUGAUAGAGUUUAUGCGAGAUUGACGCGGGAGGCAAGCGCGAAACCGAAGGAUAAAAAUCCGCGAGGAGAGAAAACGAAGAGAAAUUAAUUCGACGAUAAAUCUAAGUCUUUUAACAAUAAUAGUCAGUUUAUUAUAACAAUUAUAACACUAAUUAUAAUACACAGUCUUAAAUUAAUUACGCGAAAGCGAUUUCAGAAUCCGCGAGCAACGGAGACGACUGAUUCAAUCCGCGAGCAACGGAAGAACGUUUUUUCUCGUGAUCGAAAAAUAAGUGAGUGCGUCGAGUACCUUUAAGCCAAGAAGCGCCGUGUUCCGCGAGCGCGUCAAUUUAUAGCGGAGCCCUUCUCGAAAGAUCCCGAUUUUUCGUGAACUAAUAUAAAUGUUCAAAACGAACGGUUAAGAAUUUAUUUAUUUUCCUUGGAUCUUUCGAGAAGGGCAAGCGCUGUUUUUAAAUUGCGCUGACAAAGCGAUGUCGCGCUAACGGCUGCCAGGGGCGCCGAAUGAUCGCUC